rnacentral:rRNA from 3 species
GCCUAGCCAUAAACUUUGAUUAUCCGCCAGAGUACUACGAGCUACAGCUUAAAACUCAAAGGACUUGGCGGUGCUUUACACCCCCCUAGAGGAGCCUGUUCUAUAAUCGAUAAUCCCCGAUAAACCUCACCACCUAUUGCCAAUACAGCCUAUAUACCACCGUCCAGCCCGCCCUUUAAAGGGUAAACAGCAGGCAUAAUUAUAAACAUAAAAACGUCAGGUCAAGGUGUAGCAGAUAAGGUGGAAAGAAAUGGGCUACAUUUUCUAACUUAGAAAACACGGAUGAUUCUAUGAAAUAGUUUCUGAAGGAGGAUUUAGCAGUAAAAAGAAAUAAGAGUGUUCUUUUUAAAACGGCAAUAAAGCGCGC